rnacentral:rRNA from 1 species
UACGUAGGGUGCAAGCGUUUGUCCGGAAUUAUUGGGCGUAAAGAGCUCGUAGGCGGUUUGUCGCGUCUGCUGUGAAAACCCGAGGCUCAACCUCGGGCCUGCAGUGGGUACGGGCAGACUAGAGUGCGGUAGGGGAGAUUGGAAUUCCUGGUGUAGCGGUGGAAUGCGCAGAUAUCAGGAGGAACACCGAUGGCGAAGGCAGAUCUCUGGGCCGUUACUGACGCUGAGGAGCGAAAGCAUGGGGAGCGAACAGG